rnacentral:lncRNA from 1 species
UUUUUUUUUUGGUAAAUAAGAGAGCAUUAGUUUGAAUUAGAAGAAGUUGAAAAUAGAAUUUUAGUAAAGUAAAAUUAAAGCAAUGGUUAUUUACCCGAAGGAAGCGGCCAUGAUAAAGGUUAUAGCGGAUCCAAGGUUGGACAUGGCGGAUGCAAACGUUACCGAAGUUAAAACCAGGGACUCUAAGUAGAAAUUUUGAGUUAAUACUCCUCUGCAUAAUCAAAUCAAAUCAAAUCAAAGUUAACCUCAGUGUCACUUUAACGAAGUAAUAGAUAACAUGUCUUAUCUAUGAUCUUUUGGAUGUGGACCAAAUUAGAGCAGCUAUCAGAGCUUAUCUAGUGUUUUUUAGUAGAUAAGUUCCAAUAUGUGCUUUUCAGUUUGUGUCCAAACAGACUCCUAGUACUUUAAGAUAUGUUAUGAAGUUAGCAUUAAAAAGUUAAAUGCGAUUAAUGGAGAUCUCCAAAAUUAGAUUUAUGACAUGUGAUGUGAUAGGAAAUUUUAACUAGAAUCUUAAAAAAAUUAAACUAAGAUCUUACUUCAUAGUUAACACCACAACUUCACUCCCAUCCAGAGAGAGAUAGGAAUACAAGAGAGAGCAAUGAGUCAUAUAAUAUGUGAUGUGAUAGUAAAAACAUAAAGAGAUAAGAAGAGAAAGUGGGUGGAAGUGAGAUAGAAGAGAAGCUGAGUGUGAAUGUAUCAAAUCUGUAGAUAUUACUUUAUCUAAUCAGUACAUGGUUUUGUUUAGAUGUUGUAUGCUUGAACUUUGGAACAGAAAUCUAACUCAAACUUUGCAAAUAUAUGUGGCAAUAUAUGUACGAGUGAAAGAAGAAAGAUUGAGUUGAAUAAUUCACAAAUGAAUAACAGGAUACGUGAAAGAAAUUAAUGCAAGUACUGGUGCUUCAAAAUUCGUUCCAAACUAAAUUGAAGAGCAUCAAUCAAAUGAUGAUAUACAAUAAAGGAGCAUAUCAAUAAACAUGACACUACAUACAUACCCAAAUAAAGCGCACAGAAAUAACUGAAACAGCACAUUCCAAGUCAUCUUUGACCUCUUCUUCCUGUUAACAUUCAUGGAUGACAAAAAUCAUAUCAGCUGGAUAUAUCUAUGUUAUGGGGUGUUUUAAUAUUGCUAUGGCUUCUCAUUUUUCUACAACUAGCAAUGAAAAGACACGCUCUUCAAAGGAUUUUUCUCAAAUAAUCUUAUUAAUUGAAGAUUGAAUUAACCUUUCAAGAAUGAGCGCAAGUGGAGCUAUAGAAGCUGUAGCGAAUACAUAGCGGUAGGCAAUAACCACCCUCAAGCUCAUGCCAUCGUUUAUGGCCAGCUUGUACAGUACAUUUGCCCCAACAUAUGAUACCUGCACUGCUACCAUUAGCAUCAUUGGCUUCAAACCCUGCACCACAUUGCCAAUCUUCUUCAUCUUUAGUAAGUGUCACAGGUUACCACUACCACUGGUCACACCAACGUCCAACUCUGAAAAUGGGCUUAAAUUUCACAUAAGACAGUGUGAUAGUGGUGAAUGAGAGAUAGAGAAACUGAGUGCUAGAGCUAUAUAUAAUAAGAUUCAGGUUACUUUAGUGCGUGCUAACGUCAUCUUGUAUGAGUGCAACUGAUAUCCAAAAUUAGCCUGUAUUUGUUUGCACCGUUUAAUGUUGCACUUUCUCUACAACUAUUAAUUAUAAUGAUAGUGUGAUAAGGAAAAAAACAGAAAUAUAAUAUGACAGUGAAAUAAAACUAAAGCAGAGAUAUUAAACGAGUUAAAACACUAACUUUUCAAAAAAAGUUGUCUACCUUACAUCCAUUUUUUUUAGAGUAGCCAAGCAUAUGUCUUAGAAAGAUCAGAAUCUCUAACAAAUAGUAGCAACAACCUUAAUGGACAUGCAACUAGACUACAAGCAUUCUUGCAUAGAAAAAAGAAACAUUACCUGAGACAUCAAUAAAGUAUCUAAUCAAAUACAAGAGUAGAAACUCAGGGCGUUGCCCAACAAAACAGACACAUACUGCAAGUCCAAGCACCACUACAUUAACAAAAUCUCACUGUCCUCUUAAUUGCAGUUACCAAAUUUAAAAUCAACUUCUGCUUCGGUGCCUUUCCCUAAGCCCAUUUCCAUUAGAAUAAGGCACCUCCUCACGAGCACGGUAAGGAGGUGGUGACCUGCUGUAGCUGCGACCAUGAGGUGAAACACUGCGGCGUCUAGGGGACCGGCCAUGCGGACUAACUUAAUUUGUUUGUUUCUCAAGUCACCAUAUGGCUAGAUUUUUUUUAAAUACAAAAGUUUCAUAAUAUGAUGAGAAACAGUCUACUCAAUGGGGACAAAGAUACCCAAGCUGAUAUGAAUACUUCCAGAACACCUCCUCUGGUAGUCAUGGCAGUAUAA